rfam:Myotis lucifugus cont2.8519, whole genome shotgun sequence.
AGCAUGGUUCUCCAGUGAGGCAUCCGGGAAUCGGUCUCCCUCCUCUCUGUUUCCAGGUGCAUCAUUCGAGAACUGCU